rnacentral:rRNA from 1 species
GACAGAAGGUACGGGCGUUAUUCGAUGUUACUGGGCGUAUAAGGUAUGUAGGCGGGCAAUAGCUUUUCUCAACAAAAGGGUAGGGUAUUCCCAUACCGAACUGAGUUUACUAUUUGUCUUGAGUUGUAGCUGAGGUCUGGAGAAUUUCGAAGGAAGGGGUAGAAUCCUGCCAUCUUCGAACGAUUACCAAAGGCGAAGGCACCUUUCCGAGUACAACUGACGCUGAGGUACGGAAGCUUGGGGCGCAAACAGG